rnacentral:rRNA from 1 species
UGAGGAAUAUUGGGUCAAUGGGCGAGAGCCUGAACCAGCCAAGUAGCGUGCAGGACGACGGCCCUAUGGGUUGUAAACUGCUUUUAUAAGGGAAUAAAGUGAGUCUCGUGAGGCCUUUUGCAUGUACCUUAUGAAUAAGGACCGGCUAAUUCCGUGCCAGCAGCCGCGGUAAUACGGAAGGUCCGGGCGUUAUCCGGAUUUAUUGGGUUUAAAGGGAGCGUAGGCCGGAGAUUAAGCGUGUUGUGAAAUGUAGUGGCUCAACCUCUGCACUGCAGCGCGAACUGGUCUUCUUGAGUACGCACAACGUGGG